UGAGCAGGCGGUCAAUUAAGUCUAAGAUGAAAAGCUAUUGCUUAACGAUAGUUGGUUUUAGAAACUGAUAGACUAGAGUACGGAAGAGGUAAGCGGAAUUCCAUGUGUAGCGGUGAAAUGCGCAGAUAUAUGGAGGAACACCAGUGGCGAAGGCGGCUUACUAGACCGGGACUGACGCUGAGUCACGAAAGCGUGGGUAGCAAAUA
rnacentral:rRNA from 1 species